rnacentral:rRNA from 1 species
GGGAGCGGCGGACGGGUGAGUAACGCGUGGGUAACCUGCCCUGUACACACGGAUAACAUACCGAAAGGUAUGCUAAUACGGGAUAACAUAAGAAAGUCGCAUGGCUUUCUUAUCAAAGCUUUUGCGGUACAGGAUGGACCCGCGUCUGAUUAGCUAGUUGGUAAGGUAACGGCUUACCAAGGCGACGAUCAGUAGCCGACCUGAGAGGGUGAUCGGCCACAUUGGAACUGAGACACGGUCCAAACUCCUACGGGAGGCAGCAGUGGGGAAUAUUGCACAAUGGGCGAAAGCCUGAUGCAGCAACGCCGCGUGAGCGAUGAAGGCCUUCGGGUCGUAAAGCUCUGUCCUCAAGGAAGAUAAUGACGGUACUUGAGGAGGAAGCCCCGGCUAACUACGUGCCAGCAGCCGCGGUAAUACGUAGGGGGCUAGCGUUAUCCGGAAUUACUGGGCGUAAAGGGUGCGUAGGCGGUCUUUCAAGUCAGAAGUGAAAGGCUACGGCUCAACCGUAGUAAGCUUUUGAAACUGUAAGACUUGAGUGCAGGAGAGGAGAGUGGAAUUCCUAGUGUAGCGGUGAAAUGCGUAGAUAUUAGGAGGAACACCAGUUGCGAAGGCGGCUCUCUGGACUGUAACUGACGCUGAGGCACGAAA